CCUACGGGAGGCAGCAGUGGGGGAUAUUGCACAAUGGGGGAAACCCUGAUGCAGCGACGCCGCGUGUAGGAAGACGGUCCUCUGGAUUGUCAACUACUGUCCCCAGGGACGAAGAUGACGGUUCCUUGGGAUGAAGCUCCGGCUAACUACGUGCCAGCAGCCGCGGUAAUACGUAGGGAGCGAGCGGUGUCCGUAAGUACUGGGUGUAAAGGGAGCGUAGGCGGGGAUGCAAGUUGGGUGUUAAAUCUACCGGCUCAACUGGUGGUCGCACUGAAAACUGCAGCUCUUGAGGGAAGUAGGGGCAGGCGGAAAUCCUAGGGGAGCGGUGAAAAGCGUAGAUAUUAGGAGGAAAAACAGUGGCGGAGGCGGCCUGCUGGGCUUUUACUGACGCUGAGGCUCGAAAGUGUGGGGAGCAAACAGGAUUAGAUACCCUAGUAGUC
rnacentral:rRNA from 1 species